UGGGGAAUAUUGGACAAUGGGGGAAACCCUGAUCCAGCCAUGCCGCGUGAGUGAUGAAGGCCUUAGGGUUGUAAAGCUCUUUUGUCAGGGAAGAUGAUGACGGUACCUGAAGAAUAAGCACCGGCUAACUUCGUGCCAGCAGCCGCGGUAAUACGAAGGGUGCUAGCGUUGUUCGGAAUCACUGGGCGUAAAGCGCGCGUAGGCGGCUUUUCAAGUCAGAGGUGAAAUCCCCAGGCUCAACCUGGGAAUUGCCUUUGAAACUGUAAAGCUGGAGUAUUGGAGGGGAUAGCGGAAUUGCUAAUGUAGAGGUGAAAUUCGUAGAUAUUAGCAGGAACACCGGUGGCGAAGGCGGCUAUCUGGACAAUUACUGACGCUGAAGUGCGAAAGCGUGGGGAUCAAA
rnacentral:rRNA from 1 species